GACGAACGCUGGCGGCGUGCUUAACACAUGCAAGUCGAACGGAGCGAAUGAAAGCUUGCUUUUAUGAGCUUAGUGGCAAACGGGUGAGUAACACGUAGACAACCUGCCGAUCAGAUGGGGACAACAUUCCGAAAGGAAUGCUAAUACCGAAUGGCGUGUAGGGGAGGCAUCUUCCCUACAUGAAAGAUGGCCUCUAUAUAUAAGCUAUCACUGAUCGAUGGGUCUGCGUCUGAUUAGCUAGUAGGUAAGGUAACGGCUUACCUAGGCGACGAUCAGUAGCCGGUCUGAGAGGAUGAACGGCCACAUUGGGACUGAGACACGGCCCAGACUCCUACGGGAGGCAGCAGUGGGGAAUCUUCCGCAAUGGGCGCAAGCCUGACGGAGCAACGCCGCGUGAGUGAAGAAGGUCUUCGGAUCGUAAAGCUCUGUUGAAGGGGACGAACGAUCGAGGGGCGAACAGGCUCUCGGUA
rnacentral:rRNA from 1 species